UACGUAGGGUGCGAGCGUUGUCCGGAAUUAUUGGGCGUAGAGAGCUCGUAGGCGGUUUGUCGCGUCUGCUGUGAAAACCUGAGGCUCAACCUCAGGCCUGCAGUCGAUACGGGCGGACUUGAGUACUGCAGGGGAGACUGGAAUUCCUGGUGUAGCGGUGGAAUGCGCAGACGUAUCAAGGGAGGGAACACCGGUGGGCGAAGGCGGGUCUCUGGGC
rnacentral:rRNA from 1 species